AAAGUGAAAAUAAUGGUAAUUAACUCUCAUAUCAGUUAUAGCAAAAUUAUUUGUAUGGUUGUUUGUAUGAGUCAGUGUUUCCAGAAUUGAGUUUUUUUUUGUUUUCUUCCUAUAUCCUUUUACUCUCAAACUUCUUUCAUCAUUUUCCUCUUAGCUAUGAGCAAACUGUAAGGGCUAAGGAUUAAAUAUUACCAGUUACCAUAUCAAUCACCUAAAGAACUGCCAGCUUUGGAAUUAAUUGCUUGCCUGGUCACUUUUUGUUUUCAUUCCAUUCCACCCACCCUGCCCUUUCUCAAUUACUGAGGACAGUGUGGUGUUCUAUAGAUCACCCAAAGAGUGGUCACUGGUUUUGAGGUUCGACCCAUGUCCAUCCACUAACUAGUAGUUGAGAUUUGUCCUGUCCCUUGGUUCUCAGUUUCUUCGUGUGUUGAAUGAAGAGGUUGCAUUAGGUGACUGAAUUUGCUUCCAGCUUUAAAUCACUCAUUCUUUGUUUCUCUGGAGUCAGGCGAAAACUAACCUCACUGAACCUCAUCCCUCCUCUUUUCCGGUUAAGUGCCUUGUCUGACCUCUGAUCUGAGCAACUCCGAUCCUUAAGCCUAUCAAACCCCAAACCCCUCUUCAAAAUAAAUAUUUUGUCAUGCUUUAUACUCUCCUGAAGUGAAAUUCACAGAUAAUACAAACUUAGUUACACACAACUAGAACAACAUAUCAAUAUAAUCCCCUAAGUGAAACGUAAAGGAGAAAUUAAAGGAAAAUAAUUUAGGAUAAAAUAGUCUGUAUUUCAACAUGUAAAUGCUCAGACCUCACUACAAAAACACAUAGUGAAAUAAUAAGAUGCUUGUACUUGGUCAGAGACUCACCAGAGAUGUGACAGCUACAAGUACAGAUUGGGAUACAUCUGUGUUGACACAAACAUAUUGUAUUGAUGACUCAAAUAGUGCUGGUGGCAUUGUUGCUGGUGAUAUAAUUUUCCAGAAUGGUGAACAAUACUUGGUAAAUUUCCAAACAAAAAAUACAGUCUUCCCUCUAUUCUUAUGGUAACUAUAUAAAAAUUACUUUGUGUUUUUCUUUUAGGUUACAGACUCAGAAAAUAGUAAACAGGUUUUUCACUUAUAUGAAUAUCCCAAGGGACAUUUAAAGGUCUUGCAAGACUUGGGACAAGUCUUACCUUCCUCCUGUGAAGAAGUGAGCCCUGUGUAUUGCAAGACAUCCUUGACCUCUACUUACCAUAGGGCCGUCUUAUCACAUUCACAGUGGGAGAUUGCAGCCUCCAAACUGCUAUUCUGACUCUGAUCUUCAUGUAAAAGAAUGUUCUUCGGGCAUCCCACUGGAUCUACUGUAAAACAUCAGUCACGCAUCCAUAGGAUGGACUCAAAGACCUUCCUGAUGAGUGGUGGUGUGAAAUAUACUAAGAAUAAAAGGAUGCUUCAUUUUUAUGCGCUAGAGAUUUAAAACCACAUUAUACUUUGAUGCUAUCACCAGCCUUUUUCUUUAUGAUAUCUGCUGUUAUGUGAAUUGAGGGUUUUUUGAAGUUAAUAACUGAAAUACCCUCAGGGCUGUAAUCUCAUCCGUUGGAAGGACCCUGAGCAAACUCUUCCGUGGUGUGCGGUCAAUGUACCAUCAAUUUGGCCUUUUCAGUUCCAUGUGAAGCAAUGGUUGAACAUUGUGGUUUCUUUUUGUAACUUAGCCUUCCCCCACAACAUUCUUGAAGUAGAAGCAACAGCAACGAUGUUCUAGUUCAUUUGUGUCAACUAAUUUAAAAAAACAAAUUAAGGAGAGUAAGUUCAGACAUUUUGGAUAUUACUUUAAAUGUUAACAAUCAUUGGCAGGUUUUGAAUCCUUUUCUCUGCUUUGUGAACUGAGAUUAUGAUGAGUAUGUUCAUUUCAAAAACUAAAAAUGGGCUUGCCAUUACUUACUUUAACAAGCUGAGCUUUAAAGUUAUGCAAAAUAAAAGAUCU
ensembl:lncRNA